AGCAGCGUGGCUCAGUGGAAAGAGCACAGGCUUGGGAGUCAGAGGUCACGGGUUCGAAUCCCGGCUCUGCCA
rnacentral:tRNA from 1 species